rnacentral:misc_RNA from 1 species
CACAUCAUUGCUUACCUCUACCAUUGAAUUGGCUCCGGUGAUUAACCAAUUCACAUCCCGAUUUUCAAACACUAAAUAAAUGUCAGGAACACUAAACCCGAGUAAUGACAUAUCCAAGUCUUCUUUACGAUAACAAUCUUUAAACGGUGACAGAGCUGCAACCUUUCUCACUUUCCUAUUUCCUGUAGUAACUAGCAUUUGCUCAUCAAACACCUUAACAAAUGACUUGUAGAUGGAAGUCUCAAGAGUGGUAUAAGGUUGCACUGUAGUUAUUCUUGAACCACCG